AAAAGAGAUGGUCCCUGAUAGGUGCCCAUAGAGGGUGAAGGACUGAAAUGGAGAAAGACCCAGGCAUGGCCUGGAGCCAAAGGAAUGGGAAGGCAGACACUCUUGUGGGAAGGACACUGGAUCAGGAGUCAAGACACCAGGGCUGCAGCCCUGGCUUGGCCGCCAACGGGAUGUGGACUGUCCCCAGGUCCACCUGACUCUGAGAUUCAUAAUCCCUUCUGCCCUGGAAACCGGGGCCGGAGCUCAGGUCAUCCUGUUCAGAGGCAGGGGGAUGGAUCUCUUGACCUGUGGAUUGGCGUGGAAGAGAGGGGGGAGAGAGAGAAGGAGGAAUAAAACUCCAUUUGGCCUUCCACAGUCAGGUACUUAGCAAAAACGUCCCCCAAAAGAGAUGUCAGCAUUCAAGUCUCCUGGGGAAAUUAGUCAUUCAGGGAAGUGUUACUGAAAUGUGUCGUGUUUCUCAAAAAGUAGCCAGGGGUCCCAAGGUCACCAUCUCUUUCAGGCAAUGCUGCCCCACUAGGAACAGCAGGCAGAAACUUCCUGCCUCCCUGAAGCAUGGGGAAAUGGUGGGUAAAAGGGUGGGAGGGGCCAGUCCCCAGUUCUGGUGCUGUCUCGUAUCGGGUCUCCAUUUUCAGGGGAUGUGCUGAUUCUCCCUCCCCCCACCCUCCCUGGGUCAUGCCCGCCUCCUGGGGUCCCCAGCUUCUCCUUCACCUGCCAACCUGCCUCUCGGUUCAGCUCUAGUUGGGAGCAGAGAGUCCCCAUGGAGCCCUAAGGGUGGAGCCCUGUUGGGCUGGG